GUAGGCUGAAACUCGCCUACAUGAAGCUGGAGUUACUAGUAAUCGCAGAUCAGAAUGCUGCGGUGAAUGCGUUCCCGGGUCUUGUACACACCGCCCGUCGCACCACGGAAGUUGGGGGCGCCCGAAGCCACUUAGCUAACCCUUUUGGGAAGCGAGUGUCGAAGGUGAAAUCAAUAACUGGGGUGAAGUCGUAACAAGGUACC
rnacentral:rRNA from 1 species